UUGUUUUUUGUUUUUUUUUGUUUUUUUUUUUUUAUCUCUACUAAAUCUAUCCACUUCUCUCACUCCGGCAUCAAGUAGCCCUUCUCUGAAGUUGCCCUCCGGACGAGAGAAUUCCUAAAAAGGCCCUAUUUUCCUCUGCCACUCUCAAUCCUCGCAGCGUCAACCCGUAUUAGAAAUCAGUCCGUUUGUAGCACAAGAAGCUCGAACUCUAUUUGCACAAAAGCGUUCGAUCAUUUCUUCUCCAAACGCUGCAUUUCGAUCUCUGAGUUCCAGGUCUAUCUCUUUGGAAUAAAUAGCACUAAUCAAUCCCUCAAGAGAUAGUUUGUCCUUGCUGUACUGUGGGGCAUCUUUGAGUAGAUUAAAAGGUUUUGGCAAGGAAUUCAAUAGAAUGACAACUUGAUCUUCAUCUUCGAUUUUUACUUCAAUAUUCUCAAGAUCAAAGCAAAGCUCGAAAAUUGUGCUCUAGGCAUGCAAUGUCUCUCCAUGCUUGAUCGGGGAAGACAGCUGAAGAAAGGAAAAUUUAUACGUGCAGGCAUUAGAAUGAGGAAGGAACAGCUUGAUGAAGAUCAAAGAGUUUUGGAUUUUGCAUAUUCAGAGCUGAAGCAGUAAUCUUCAUAAGAGUUCUUGGCCUCCAGCAGGAAGUUAGCUGUAGAGUUUGACAACUUAAGUUGCCAAAAGGUCAAGCUCAAAGAAUUUCCUUGAAUAUCAUAUUUGAGGGAUGACAGUUUUGAAGAGGUAUGUGCUAAGGCUGUUCAUAUCAUUAAAAUACAUCACAGCAAAUGUAGUAGACAGGAACAAUGGGCGGAUUAUUGCAACAGCAUCGACAGUUGAACAUGCAAUUAAGGGCUCUCUAGAGUGUGGCCGAUCUUGCAAUGCCAAGGCUGCAGGAGUUGUUGGAGAGGUAUUGGCCAUGCGACUGAAGGUGGAGGGCCUUGAAGAGGGACAGGGAAGGGGAAUCCAUGUUGAUGUAAACAAAGAGGUUGAGAAGAAAGGCUUCAAGAAUCGCACCAAGAUCUGGGCUGUUGUCAAUGGCCUUAAGAACAAUGGAAUAAAACUCAUUCUUGAUGAUGAUGAAAAUUCUUCUAGGCCAAGUUAUCGCUAAAUUAUUUUCCCUUUUUCCGUUUUUAAUCACUCUACAUCCGUAUGUAAAAGACAGUUUUGUUUGUUUAUGAAAAGGAGGAAAUAGCAGAGUCGCCUUAAUGAUACAUUGAAGGACCUCCCUUGGCAGGCCGUGUGCAAGCAGCAUGCAGGUACACACGCAUUCAACUAACAGCCCUCCUUGUCGGUGGUCUACUCUGCGCGUUUCACUGUACUGCCACCCGUGGCCUGCCAAUGAAGACUUGGGUUCCAGGGUCAUCAACGGGAAAGUUCCCGGUUCCCUGGCAGGCAGCCUCCGACAGUGCUGGGCUCCUCAAUGUCUCAAACUCAUCGAAUCAUAUGGUUUUUCAAUCUCCAAAUUCAAAGUUUUAUUGGAUGUCUAUUUAAUGUAGCUUUUGUAUCUUUAUGUGUUUUGGUACAAGCAUUUAGGAUUUUGAUGAUGCAAACCAACUGGCCAAAAAUUAACAGUAGGCCCCAUAUGAAUUUCUCUUUUCUCUUUUUCCCCACUUUUCUCAGUUCAUAUAAAUUUCACCGACUUUCUUUUC